rnacentral:lncRNA from 10 species
UGGAAAAGCAUCAGAUAAUCCAAAAGUUACAUUAAUAUUAAAAUCACCAAAAAAAUAGAAAUGCUAUUUCUGAGCACAAGCAACUCCAUGAACCCUAUCCUGGUUUCUCAAUAACUCCGACCACUAGAAGGAGACACGGCCAAUUUCAGAGCUGGGAUGAGGAACCUUCAACUGGGAAAAACAAGUUAACUGAUAUCAAAUACAACAAUAUAAAAACAAUUGAAUUCUGGUUAAAAAAAGAAGAGCUACAAAAGAUAUUUUGAUUAAGCAAUGAAAAAUUAAAAUAUGGACCGGAUACCAAA